GGGCUUGUGGCGUAGUGGUAUCGCGUUCGCUUCGCAUGUGAAAGGUCCUCGGUUCAAUCCCGGGCAAGUCCA
rnacentral:tRNA from 1 species